rnacentral:lncRNA from 1 species
CUAAAAUUAUGAAUUAUGUUAUUCAUAGUUUGUUUUCUCAUUGCUCUGUGUAGGUCUUCAUCAAAUGCACUUUAAUUGUCAAAGUAUAUAAUUAUGGUGCGACAUUGGUGUUCUCCAUCUUCUAAAAGAAAACAAAUGAGACUACACUUGCAUAAUAUACUUAACAUGCUUCAGGACCUCUCAAGAAAAUCACAAGGACGAAGUAAUAUAAA